rnacentral:lncRNA from 1 species
AGAACAGGGAGCAGGGAGCAGGGAACAGGGAGCACAGCUGGCUGGGCUGUUCCGGUGUUCCAGCCUUGCUUCCCAUCCAUCCCUUCACCGCCUCAGCCCAGCGCUCCCCCCACGCCUGCCUCCCGCCUUCCACCAGGCACAGUCAGAAAACUUUAUUUACAGUAUUUGUUAACAAUAACAACCCCGCGAGCAUGCCCCGUGCGCUAUAGAGCAAGCGGGUGGCGCUGGGGCCGUGCGACACUUGGUGGAUCUGCGGCGAGCCCGGAGCCGAGCCCGGCCUUGGGGACACGAGGGAGUGUCCCUGCGAGAGCCCGGGGAGCAGCCCGGACCCCGCACAGCCCACGGGCACCGCCCGAUCCCCGGCCCCAGCCGUGCUCAGGGGACCGUCUGCACCCCCUGGGCAGGGUGCGGGGCUGGCACGCUGCAGGGCUGGCACGCUGCGGGCUGCGGGCACACUGCAGGGCUGCAGGGCUGCGGGGCUGGCACUGUGCAGGGCUGCAAGGCUCUAGGGCUGGCACGGUGCAGAGUUGGCACAGCGCAGAGUUGGCACAGUGCAGAGCUGCAGGGCUGCAGGGCUGGCACAGGGUGCAGGGCUGGCACCGUGCAGAGCUGCAGAGCUGCAGGGCUGGCACAGUGAGGGGCUGCCAUGGUGCAGGGCUGCCUGUGCCCCGCAGGCUGCAGGCGAAGGCAGCGCUCCUGUGCAGAGAGCGCGGUGCCAGGCGGUGCCAGGCGCUGAAACCCUGCGGGGUCCCGCUGCAGGAGGAGCUGGGACAGUGCCAGCCGCGUACCCGGGUGACACCCAUCUCCCAGUGCCGCAGCACCCCUUCCAUCCCGCAGGGGUGCACCGCACCCGCCCCAGCAGCACCGCAUGGUGUGUCCCUCCCGGUGACAUCCACGAGCCGCUGCUGCCGGGGUUUGGGGCUCAGGAGCGGGUUCCUGCUGUCCGACCCAGGCAGCACCGAAACCUGGGCACGGAAUUCCUGCCGCGCUCCCGUCUCGGUUAAAUAA